rnacentral:rRNA from 1 species
GACGAACGCUGGCGGCGUGCCUAAUACAUGCAAGUCGAGCGGAAGUUGGAGAGCUUGCUCUUCAACUUUAGCGGCGGACGGGUGAGUAACACGUGGGCAACCUGCCCUGCAGAUCGGGAUAACUCCGGGAAACCGGUGCUAAUACCGAAUAGUUUUCGCCACCUCCUGGUGGCGUACGGAAAGACGGUUUCGGCUGUCACUGCAGGAUGGGCCCGCGGCGCAUUAGCUAGUUGGGGGGGUAACGGCCCACCAAGGCAACGAUGCGUAGCCGACCUGAGAGGGUGAUCGGCCACACUGGGACUGAGACACGGCCCAGACUCCUACGGGAGGCAGCAGUAGGGAAUCUUCCGCAAUGGACGAAAGUCUGACGGAGCAACGCCGCGUGAGUGACGAAGGUUUUCGGAUCGUAAAACUCUGUUGUGAGGGAAGAACAAGUACCAACUAACUACUGGUACCUUGACGGUACCUCACCAGAAAGCCACGGCUAACUACGUGCCAGCAGCCGCCGUAA